UGGCGAGGUGGUGUGUGAGGGCACUCAGCCCAGUUUCCUGUCCGGCCUUGCCACUCUGUUUGCUGCUUAUUACUAGUUUAAUCUUGAGUAUCAGGAGGAAGCAGUGUGUACCUUGGAGUUCAUUCAAAGGUGCUUUGUGGGCAUAAAUCCAGAGAGAGGACCCAAAGCCAAGGGAAAAGUGCCAUCGAAAUAAAAACAGGACAAGUGAUACAGAAGAAAAUGUGUGGCAGUCAACCCACAUGUUGCCACUCUUCUGUGCAAAUUCCAAUGGAAUUUCUGAAAUUCACACUUUGAAUCCUGGGAUGGAACUUCAUCUGGAGCAUAAUUGUUAUUUGGUUGAUUUUUAUCUGUUUGAUGGAAAGUUUGUAUGACUUCUGCAAGUGCGCGGCUCCUUCCGGUCAGUCAUGCAUCACUUUUUUUUGUAUGACUUGUUUGGCAAUAUUGGUCUAUUCCUUAAUGAUGAUAGCUAUCUGAAAAUGUCUUUGUGGUUUUUAAAGGAUUAGUUCACCCAAAAAUGAAAAUUAAGUCAAUAAUUACUUAUGUCGUUUCACACCCGUAAGAUCUUCGUUCAUCCUCACAACACACAUUAAGAUGUGGCUCAGUGAAGCGUGCAUUUCUAGCAAGAUCAUUUCUUUUUUUCAAUGCCCAGAAAGCCUCUAAAACAUUUAAAACAAUUCAUGUGACUACAGUUGUUCAACCUAAAUAUUAUAAAGCGACGAGAAUACUUUUUUUGCCAACCCC